CUCGGACCAGGCUUCAUUCCCCCUA
rnacentral:sRNA from 1 species